rnacentral:lncRNA from 1 species
CUUUUUAGUGUUGCUAGGGAGGUUCAACCAAGCACCUAUUUGAGUACUCAAACCGAUUAACCAGGUUUAAACAGAGAAUAGAGUGCUGAUUAAUUUCUUUGUGGAGUCCUUUGUAUCUUUUGGAUGAACUAACUCUGGGCAUUUAUGCCUUCUCAGUGUACUUUUCUCUUUUUUAAAAUUUGACUCUGGAACUUACAAGCAGGUCAACAUUAGAUAUAUCUUUACAUUUUUCAUUUUGCAGCUUCCUUCGCUUCUGAAAACCCUUAAGGAAACACAUUUCAGGCCAAAAGAUAAAGUAACUUCGUAACGAAAAAUAAAACCAACUUUGCCUAAAAGUUGAAGGAUUAAAUAUUCCCAUCUGUCAUUUUUGAGAGAUUUGGGCAAUGUAUUUGAUCUCACGUUUUCUAGUUGCUUAAGUGAGAAAAAGAAACACAGAAUUACAUAGUUUCAUGCACUGACAACCGGAAGUAUAUAAACAUCUGCAGAAACCAAACAUUUCCUGGAACUAAACUCAAGCAGAAAUGUAUCACGUGAAUCUUUGUUUAAAGAACCUUGUGAAAAAUAUCUUCAACCACAGUUAUGUAAAAGACCCAGGAGUGCAGCUCGGAGGACUGAGGAGAUUAAAGUGAAGCUUUGAAGCUUUGAAGGAUGCAAACAACAUUUUUCGUGGAAUUCCAAGGUAUUUUUGCCCAAUCAGAAGUCUAGUUCACUUGCCGUGUGAAGGCAACAGUGGAAUCUUCCCCCUGCCCAAGGAGCUUCUGCUCAAUAUAAGUUUUCAUAACGGGAGUGAUUUAAGACUUCACAACUUAUGUGACACGGAAGAAACAACUUUUGCCUAAAAUACAUAAGGGCCAAAUAUAACAAAAUAUUUGUCUUUUCCAUAAAAAUCUUUAAUAUGAUCGUCAUAUUGUAGUUUCUUUAAAGAAUGCUUGUAUUCCUUGGACCUACUAGGGUGAAUUAAAUGAAAAAAAUUUAAAACACUUAAGCCUGUCCUCUGGCUAUAAAUUGACCUUUACAUGUUUACCAG